rnacentral:rRNA from 1 species
UCGAGAAAACUUUACCAUGCGGGCAACCGUGAUAAGGAAACCCCGCGUGCCAGCACAGGCUGGCUGUCCGCCAGUUUAAACAACUGGCGAAGAAAGGGCCGGGCAAGACCGGUGCCAGCCGCCGCGGUAAUACCGGCGGCUCGAGUGGUGGCCGCUAUUACUGGGCUUAAAGGGUCCGUAGCUUGAUAAUAGGGUCCCUUGAGAAAUCCGCCGGCUUAACUGGCGGGCGUUCAGGGGAAACUUGUUUUCUAGGGACCGGGAGAGGUGAGGGGUACUGCCGGGGUAGGAGUGAAAUCCUGUAAUCCCGGUGGGACCACCUAUGGCGAAGGCAUCUCACCAGAACGGGUCCGACAGUGAGGGACGAAAGCUGGGGGAGCAAACCG